GGCUUGAGCGUCUUCCUGCUGCCACUGCUAAAAAUAACACGACUGCACUUUGAACUGGCACAUCUUACUGUAAAAAGAAAAGAGAGAAAAAAGAAACGAAAAAUCACAUGCAGUUCAGUCAUCAAAGUUAAUUAGAACUUUGUGUUGAACCGAUUAAAAAAUGUUCCUACUUUGAGUUUAGGCUUCACCCAGAGCUCAUCGUGCAGGUCCAGCAAAUCAGACUGAUGUCAGCAGGUCACUUUCACACCAAAGCAAAAGGCCCAUGAUUCAGAUUCCUGUCUCCAGAUGGAUUUCAACUUAAAACUGCCAUAGUGAUCAUUUUUAAUGGUCGCACCACACAAUAUUUCAUAAGGUGGACAUAGCUGGACUAAAUUCAUUUGAAUACUAUGAUCCAGGUAUAAAAAACAAAUCUGAAGAUUAAAACGCAACUACAAAACACCAAAAUUUUGCCACUGAACAAAAUCAAGUAAAUUAAAAAGAAGUUUUCAAAUAAAAUAUAUUUUUGCAUAUUAAGUAUCAGAAAAGUGGGUAGGUCUUUUUUUCAUUUAUUGAAACCUUUUUUAAUUGAAAGAAAUGCAGUUGGACAGAAAAUUCAGGCGUCAUGGCAACGACACAUAUACAUUACACUAUAUACUUUAAACAUCCUCUUCUCUUAAAGACUCAAGUCUCUCAUUCACAAGGAUGCUGCACAGCUUAGUUAGCUUGGUCUUUCAAGGGUUUAGGUCUUGGUUUUGAUCUGCACUGAACAGACCAAAUGUCUCUUGUCAGACUUGGUCAGCAGGACUCUUUCUCAAGGAACUAUGGGGUCAACUACUACUGAGUUUCCCUUUAUGAUCCAGUAUUUCUCUCAGAGCUGGGGGACCAUUUUUGGAUGUUUUCAGCUUGGAGGAUGGAAAUGUGAUCAUCUUUGGGUAAGAUUCUGGGGUGUUUAGUUUUAUCUAGGACUGCAGAUCUAUGAAGCCCACCUACUUUAUUGAUGCCGUCAUCUAGUAAAGGAUCAAGCCUACUGAUCUCACUCUUCUCUUUCAUCUUAGAGCGAUUGUCUCUCCAUGUAGGAGAUGACUGACCCUCCUGUCUGAGAGAUAUCCUCCACUGAAAGGAGCUGUCUACAUGGUGUGGUCCUGAAGGUGUCCAUUUCAGUGCUCAUCUUUUUAAAGGAUGAGCAGGUAGUUAUGUGACCUAAAUUGGGCUCUUUUCACUUUCUGACAAUCAACAUCAAAACUGUCUUUAGUCUCAGGUUCCAAGCCACUGAUUUGAGCAAUCUCAUGCAAUCUGAGAAGAAAGAAAUCAGCUGAUCUGGAGGGAUUACAGUGUUUUUUUUUCUACUGUGGUGAAUACAGAAGAGGUUUUUCAGACCUCUAGAUCAUCAGGUGACACUGUCUUGGAGCCCAAUGCUUUUUCUACAAGCCAACUAUUCUUCUGCCCCCAUUGAAACUCUUGGGCACCUGCUUGACUAAAUGAAUUUCACUGCGCUCAGCCCUCUGGAGGCAUCAUCAGCAGGAUUGUCUUCACAUAUCUCCACUGUGCAAGUCCUGUGUUGUCACGAAUCAUUGAUUCUCUGUAGGCUACAUGGGUUUUGAAUCAUGCCUGGUUAUUUUGCUAUAUAUUUUAGCACAGCCUGGCUGUCUGUCCUAAAGACUGAGGGUUUGAGCUUAAGUUUUCCUUUCCUCAGCAUGUUGUCUACCUUUUACUAAAAGAACUGCUGCAGUCAGCUCCUGUUGAGGAAUUGUGACAUGUUUUAGUAGAAGAACUCCGGACUCAUCCCCUGAAGAGGGGUGGCAAAAUUAAAAGGAAAAAUUAAUGCAAAUAGAAAUGAACUAAAAUGUGGCUUUGACAAUCUGUCUGAAAAAUGCUGGAGAUUCUUCAUCUUUGCCUUGGGCAAUGCAGGGCAGUUUUGUAAAGGUAGUAACUACACAGUACCGCAGUGAUUUUCAGUGAUGCCAAAACAAUGAAGGUUCAGAGGGGUUAUGAAGCAGAAAAGGGCCAAAGCCAUCAGUCAGUGCCCACCUCCUGAGACCAAAACAGGGACUACAUUGUAAGAACCUGGACUCAGAAGCAAAACCUCUUUGCUGCUGUAUUCUCCUUGAUCCCUCUUGUAAAAACCAUCCAUUACAAAACUGUCAGUUUCAAAGGACAGAGCUGUAACAUCAACACUCCUGGGGCUCCAGGCCACCAGACAAGGCACAGUCAGCUAGCUGCAAGGCUAAUAGUGGGGAUGCACCUUGGCACCACAUUGGUCCAAUUGUGACUCAAAUAGCUAGAUCACGUAUCUGUCACAAUCGACCAAAUCAUGGGGCUGAACUGUUUAAACGGAGCUCCUAAAGAACAGCAUGUACAGUAUGUCCUAUGUCGUGUGGCAUUAGCGUGCUAGUAGACUGAUGUAUUUUAUAGGAUAGAGCCAACAUAGCAUAGAGGGAGCUGUCAAUUUAGGCUUUCAAGUGGUGGUAAUGGUGGCGCAGCUGGAUAUAACAUAAUUAUGUCAAUCAGGCAUCACGCCAAAGACAACAAAAUGUUCAACCAAAUGAAGAGGCACACAGAAAUGCAAGAGGAGGGUAGUUUGAAAGCAUCAGAAGAAAAACCUCUAGAAGUCCAGUAUAAGGGAUUCUGCUGAUUGGAUUAUCCACAGUUUAUAGUGUACUCUAAUUUUUCUGUAAUCACUUUGUCUGAACUCCAUGAGAACAGGUGUGAGCUCUUAUCAGCAGGGUAAAAAAGUGUAACUGAGAUAUCCUCACAUCUUUCUAUUUAGAUAUGACAUUUUUAAUUGUUUCAUAUUAUUUUUUGUUUACCAAAAUAGCAACAUUCAAGAGACGAGAAAAUUAUUAAAAACGGAGACUGAAAGACCAAAUCUUUUAUACAGCAGAUUACAAAAGCACAACCCCAACCAAGAACUCAAGGCUUAAUAAGACUUAAUGUGAUAUAUACGAGCUGCUAAAUGGCACCCUCAGCCCCUUUCAUCUGAUAUUUAAUUUGAUUUUUAAACUAUAUUUUAUUCAGAUUUUAAAUUUCUAUCAAAGGACAAGUGAUAAUUCUCAUGCUGAGGACACAAAAGACCUUACUGUGCACAAAGUCGGAGCUUUGGAUGAUUUUGAAGAUUUUGGUCUGUUUUUUUUUUUUUUUUCAAAUUUAUCAUCUCAUCAUGUGAGAGGAAGUAGCAUUGUUGAUGUUGUGGUGAGCAGCUCAGUACUAAUCCGUUAACAGGUUAAUCUGGUGGACAACUGCAAUAACAGUACAACACUACUAACUACUACCAUGAAAGAGACCACAGUACUUAAAUACUGUAGUACUAACAAACUACUGUGUAAAAUGUAUGAUUUAAUUUUCAGGUAGUGUUGUAGGAAAUUUGAUUUGUAUAGUUUUUCAGAGAUAUUGAAAAACCAGAAACAGGACUAGAAAUGAAUAGUGAAAAGAGCACUGAUCAGUUUGACCCGUGCAAGUAGGCUUGAACAAGAAAGACUUAAUCUACAAGAGAAUAGAUAUGGCAAGAGGGGAUGAAAAUAUGAAGACAUGAAUUAAGUUCUCUCAAGUUUUCUUUAUUUUUAGAGUCAAAUUUUGAGAUCUGAAAAAUGCUAAUUGAUGGUCUACACCCACAGGAUCAGCUCUAUAAGUCCGUACUCAAGGCAAAGUUAGGGCCCGUGUCCAUUUUUUCCUCAGUUGGUGUUACCUAUCAUCUAUUUAAAACCAAAUACAAUUCUGCCUUUUAUAUUUUCAUUUUUAAAUUGAAUUUCCCUCGGAGGAUCGAUAAAGUUCCUCUUAUCUUUCAACAUCCCAACCCCCAAAUGCCCUCAGCACCAGCAGUUUUCUGUCACUGUGCUCACAGUUCAGUCCAGCAGUCGGGCGCCCUUAAUGUGGAUCUUUCCAUGUCUCAUGAGAGUCACAUUCACAGCAGCAUUGCCUCUAGUUUAGGCCUGCAGCACUGCAUGCUCUUCAGGUCCAUGGGUCCCAUUAAGCAGAGCAUGUAACACAAAUUAUAUGUGAGAAAGUCAGAUGGAAUGAGCUGAAGAUAUAUCAAUUUUGUACACAACAAGGAUUUUUAAUAGAUUAUAUUCUGUAAAUACAAUAUGGGAAAUUCAAGCAUCAGAUUGGGUGUCUGUAUUGGCAGCAGGGAUCAGGAUAGAGGCCAACAAAGCUUAAACCUCAGACUUAACAAUCUCUGCAAAGGUAAACAUCAGCAUUAACAACCCUGCAACAGUAAAAGCUGGUUGAAAAGGCUUGUAAAUUGAAGUUGCAAGUGCUGCCAGUGCAAAAAGAAAUGCUAUAAGUGGACAACAGCCUGCUGGCAGUGCUUGAGGAAAAGAAGGUGUAUAACCCAAACCAGUAUGCUUCACUAGUGAGUGUAAUUGUCUUAUAGGUUUAAAGAUACAUAGAAGUGUGGGUAGAUGUGUAAAUCAGCCUGGCAGUGUUUUGUUACAAGAAGAAUCUCUGGAGCCAGAAAUCUCUCAGGGGCCACACUGUUGCAGCCGCAAACACUUACACAAACACACACACACACAAACACAACAGCCAAAAAACAAUUCUAUUUGCCUUCCCCCAGACACGGCUUCCUCUGCCGCAGCAUUAAAGGAGAGAGAUUAUUUCCUCUUUUUCCUGGGAAAUGGAUUUUAUAUCAGCUGUGUGUUUGUAAAUCAGACCUCCAUUUCCAAGAAAAGCAGGGGGUAUUACUCUUAUCUCCCUGACUGUAUUUGUUAAAGCUCAACAAUAUAGGUUACAACUUCUCAGAUUUCCCACCUGCCUGCCGAGGAUACAUGCUUUUUCCUGCUCUAGCCGGUGGAAUAAAUCAAUUACAGUGCAGAAGAAACAUGAAGACACCAUGUCCCUGGCCACUUUUGAAAAUAUAUAUUUUUUAUAAACUUUGUUCCCAGAUCUCGCUGUGAUUGGGUAUAUUUCUUUGAACCAUAUCUUCUAAGAGUAAGUUAACGAAUACAGUAUAUCAUUUGCAUAUAGACAGACAAGUGACUGGGGGAUAUCCAGAUCAAUCUGUUGACUACGCUGACUGAAUUAAGUUCAAUUUUGCAUGCUUUUUCUCGCCAUGCAGAGUUUCGCAAAGCUGAUCCCAGCUGGUUGAUAAUAUAGGAGAUGUGGCGUAAAAAGAUCCUCGACUGCUCAAACUUUGCUUCCCCCCCGAUUACUUCCCACACAUACCCACAGGGAGCCGAGCCACCAUAAAAGUUUUCUGCAGAUUAUCAUAGUCAUAUUCUAUACUGAUAAAAGUGGAGAAGGAAACUCAGAGAGAAACUAAUCACGGUGAGAAAUCGAUGAAGAUGACGAAGGCUACGUUCGUCUGAUUGAAAUCUACAGGGUUUGAGUCAUUUAUGAGAUCUGCAAAACCAAAUGUGAUUACCCAUACCUCCCUGGACCUCCCUCCCUCGUACUCCCCUACUCCUCCUCUCUUUUCAUUCUUCAGUGGAUCUGUCACUCAGGCCUGAAAUAUUCAUGGCCGCCUCUGAAAAAUGAAUGCAUCUGCCGAAAGGAGCAGAAGUUGAAGAGAGAGAAGUUAGUCGUUUCGCAAGACACUCUCUCAUGAUGAAAGCGGCGGAGGGCUUUGAGUCAAGUCGUUGCUUCAGGAGACGUGGGUGAAGUGACUACAUGCGGCAGCGGCAAUUGUGUUUGUCCUUGUGUACAUUGAAAAGAUGCAUGUGAUGGUUGGAGAAAAUGAAUGGUAAUGUUCUGCUGUUUUUUGUAAGGGAGGCUGAGUCUCUCAGAGAGUGAAUGAAUGAAUGAAUGAGAGCUAUAAAGAUAUGCUGCAAGUGUUUUCCUAUUAUAGAAAUAAGAGGGAGACGAUGUGAGGCACAUGUUUACCAUACACAAACACACAACAAAAGGAGAGAGGGUGUGUUUUGCGAUCGCUGUAUUGUCGCAAGUAAACAAAAAUAAAACUUCAUCAUCAGGGUCUCUUUGCCACCAUCGCUGUAACCCCCUGUUGUCUCUGACUCCCUCUCUCUCGCUCUCUCUCUCUUUGGCUGAUCUUUCUAUUUAAUUGGCUGCAGAGUUUCUCAGCUCUCAGUCUCCACAAAGUACAUUUUGUAUUGAUUCUCUUUCUUUGGCUUCACAGACUUUGCUUCCCAUAGUUAUCCAAUCUACUCAACUGCUGGUGUCUCUAUCAGUGGGCCUCACACACACACACACACACACACACCUUCACAUACACUCCUCUUUUUGAAACCAAGAUCAAAACCAACUUCAUCCGAAUUACUGUGAUGGAGGAUGAAGUUGUAAUAUUACUCUUGAAUCAAGUACACUCAAAGAGAAAAUGCAUUUAUGAUAAUAAACUCAUAGAUAAUUGAGAUUAAAGUUGUUAUGUAUGAGAAAAAAAUCACAAGAAUAAAGUUAUUCAUUAAUAAAAUACAACUUGGAAAUGAAGAUUUAAGUUGAGGAAAUAAGUUGAUUUAUUGCUUACAGGCUAUGUUUGAUUGAUCUGUGAAGUUAUACGGGGUUAUUAGAGGAGCUGACCAUCUGCAGUAAAAGCAGGAACACAUUUCAUUUUGUGAAGUUAUACUGAGAGCAAACAGCAGUUUUACAAGCAUGCACAGGUGACUGGUUUGCACUGUCAUGAUUUUUAAGACUGUGUGAUGCUGGUGUACAAAAAAAUUAAAUAUUACACCAUCUAUGAAACAAAAACUUAAGUAUUCACUAAAAGUGAGGUGGCUUACUUAUUUUAAGACCUUUGCCUUCAAAAUAACCCAGAAGCUAACCAUUUAACAAAAUGAUUACUUUGACUUGAUAGUUCAUGACUUUUACUCUCAUGGAAGAACACCUUUAUUUCCUGUAAAUCUGUGACUUAAUCUUUAAAUUUCUUUUCUUUUACUCCUACUAGAGGCUCUGAAACUGUUAAAUUCUUAUUUAUUUCAAUUUUAGGAUCUUUUAUUGUCUUUGUGUACAAACGGUGGAUUGAGAGGUUAAUAAACUGUUUGAACUGAAGUGAAUUGACAGAAAUGGCAAAAUGUUCUAUCAACACAAAACUUACAUUCACAUUCAUUUCUGUCGAAUAAAACCCCCCAAAUCCUCUGCUUUUAUUCAGUCCAAUAAAGUUUAAUUUCAUAGCUCAAUCAAACGAAUAGGUGUGUAACUUGUGUCAGACUUCACCUAAAAGUUAAGUAGCGAGAUUAAAGGACAAUUACAUUAUACCGUUUCUCUUGUUCUGGAGCCAAAAGUCAUAAUUAUGCUUCCACACCCUCCGCAUUUCCACUAAAUCUGAUAUAAUAAUAUCUCACAUUUUUAAAAUCCAGUUUAUCUUGUGUCCUACGUGAUAAUCUACUCUUCUCUCAGGCUGCUUUUUAAAAGGAAUGUAUAGUUAUAGAUAUGAAUGCGCAGAAAUUACACCAUGAGUCUAAUAUUCCAGACAGGUCUAACCAGGACAGACUUUCUGCAGUGGAGAAAAUGGUUGUCUAGGCCACUGGUCCUUGAAGGAACCCAUUUUCUACAUAGUAUCAGCGCUAUAGGAGUCUAUCAUAGAUCUUAUAUUAUCAGUGUUGAGGGUAACGCACAACAAAGUAACAGAUUACAGUUAUGAUAUUACUUUUGGGGGGUAACAAAGUAAAGUAAAGCACUCACUAAAAAAAUCUGUAACUUAAUUACUUUAUUAAACAAUAGGAACGUGCCUUUCUGUGUUACAUCAGCUGUGUUUCCCUGUGUGCAAAGUGCUGAUCUGUUGAAGUGGUUCGUCUGACAAUAGGCAGGGGUUUGGUGCUCAUAAGGAUCAAUUUCCCCCGUUUUUUUUUUCUUGAUAUUGAGCCUUCGGACCAUUGUCCAGCUUAUCUCUGUACACUCUGACAGUCUUUUCUUUUGUGGGAUUUAAUUUUUCUUGGGUGUUUUUUUUUCUCACUGUGUCGCUAUCUCCCAGCCUCCUUGUCGAAUGUUGAAACAAAAAGUUGCCCGCAAAGAUUGGCGCUUUCCGACCCAACAUGCAUUGCGCAAUCAUGUGGCCUUUGAAAGUCCUAUGGAGAGAUUGAUUUGAGUGAUGUAGCUCCUGGUGCAAAAGAGAGAUGGAAAUGGAGAGUAUAAAUUCAUACAAUAAACAAAACAAUGCAGACUAUGCUCAGUGAGGAUUGGGAUAUGAUGUUUGUCCACGUACCUCUACACGGUAACGUAAGAAAUGGGAAAUUAAAGUAAUAAGUAGUGAAGUUACUUUUCAAAUGCAGUGACUAGUUAAGUAAUCUCAUUACAAUUUACAGAAGUAACUAGUUACUAGUAACAAAUUACUUUUAAUGAGUAACUACCCCAACACUGUAUAUUAUAGUGUUUCUGUUCCACAUCUGUUUAUAUUCAGGGAACAGAAACACGUGUCUAACACCUUAAUACAAUCUGAUUUUCCAAGAAGUCUGUCAAUCAAGUCUCACACAGUCUCCUUGUGUACCAACCUCAUGUCUGGAACAACAUGUCAGGAAUGAUUCUGAUGCUGUUUAUGAACACACGCUGAAACACACCUGCGGUUGUAUGGGUCGUCCCACAGGUAGCUAAUACAGAAUAACAUUGUUUCCAGCACACAGGGCUAUUAAUCAUGGAUGAACUCCUGCAUUACUGACAAAUCAGCCUAAUCUCACAGGGGAGGUGUGGGAGUGUAUGUACACACCCAGACACACGCAAACACACAAAAGAGGGUCUGGACUUGUGCACGUUCAUACACACAUGCAUUUAAUAGGUCUUAUCUCACAGGAAAGUGCAUGCUCUGACUGGCAAACAGAGAAUUAAUGCAGAGCAGGGGGCUCUCUCCUCUCCUCUCCCUUCUCCCGUCUCAGUCUUUACUUAUCUGUCCCUCUCAUGUCCUUCUCUUCCCCUCUCAUUUUCAAAUUUGCUUUUUUUGUCUUGUCAAAAACAACAAAGCAAAACAGCUACACCAAGUCUGUAGACAGACUUCUGAGAGAUGUGCAGCUGAGCCAGCCGACAACACUUGUUUUUUUUUUCUUUUCUUUUUUUUUCCAUAUUAUUAUUUCAGAAUUUCAAUUCAGGGGUCAGGAUAACAAAAAAAGAAAAAGAAAAUCUGGUGUUUCAUUAUUCAUACACACGUAAACACAUCAAUAUGCACAAACACUCUUAAUAACUAAGCAGGUAAGGGCACAAACAUACGAGAUAAAGGGGUUUCUCCGAUGCAGGGUAAUAUGGAUCUUUGUUUGUGUAUGAGUGUGUGCAUGGUCAAGAGAGGGGAAAUUAAGAUAGAGGUCUGUAUAGAUAGAAAACCUGUUUGGUUAAAUAAAUAAAAUGGUGCAGGCUGAAGAAAAAAACACUACUGAGGCUGAGAGAGUAGAGGGAGAGUCAGCAGUAAGUGCUGAAGGGUAAACUUAUCUACAUUCAUGUUGGCAUGUGUGCAUGGAAACACUUGUACAUAUAUGCCAUUGGGUAUGCAUUCAUGAAUCACAAGCAGCCCUUUGGCUUUUAAAGCCUCCUUCAUAUGUAUCUUAAACACUCGCAUAUCUCACAGCCCUGUUGGAACACACAAUGGCAGAGUAUCCCCUUAACGCCCACCUCUGUUCCUUUCCCUUUUCCCCUGGCCCUCUGGACUGGCUGCUUUGUACCCUGACAGAUAUACAGCUCUUGGCUGCCCUACAGGACUCUGGGGAAAUGAGAUACAAAUGCCACAAUAUCUGCGGUAUCACUGCUCCAAACCGAUGCUGUAGCCCCUGGCAAUAAAACAGCAGCCGGGACACUGGUUUUGCAAAACAACAACAACACAAUACAUGACUAACUGAGACCAUUCCUAACACACAGGACCAUCUUAAAACUAACUCCAAAAUUUGAAGGUGCUGUAGGGGGUUGGAAACAUGCAAUCUGCUACAAUUGGUACCUUUGUAUGUACCACUUAGUGUGACGUGUGAACAGAUUUGAAACUUAAAACAUCUGAGCUUUCUCUGUCUUUGCUGCCUCUAACAGUCUGUAGACUUAUGGCUGUGGAAAUAACUUUUUCAGAGAAAUUCAGAGAAUCAAAUGUUUACAAGUAUCUCAUAAAAAUACGACCUAAGCCAAUGGGAUAGCAAUUAAUUUUCGAUCCAUACAGCAAAGCUUACUCAGAGCUGGCUGGCUACAUUUAGCUGCGCUGUUUCCUUCCUGAAUUACUUCACCUCUGACAUGAUUCAGGAUAGCUACAUGUAUCAGGAGGAAAAAAACAGUUUUAGCCAACUAUACAUGCAGGUAAAAGACAUAGUUUUCAGAUGGAAGGCAUGCAAGAGAUAUAAACUCUAAUAAUAAACUAAUACUUACAAAAGACAAUGAAAAGAACUAGUAAAAAUGAGAGAAUGACUGAUUGAUAGAGAUGUAACUUCUAAGUGGCACCAUUAAUUAUUCCAAAUCUGGAUUUUCAUCUCCAUUACAAUGAGAGUAUCUGCCUGAAAGUCUGCUGCAACCAGUGACAUGAUUUCCUUAAGAUGAUUGAAAGAAGCCAGCUGUGGCUGUGACUCAUGGUCAGAGCGGCGUCUGUAUCCUGUAACUCUCGACUGUGUUACCGUAAAUCCCGUCUUUUUGUAGCCCAGCAGAAGAGCAGUUAUGUAAUGAUGAACACAUUUUUGACUUUUUUCUGACUAAUUAUGUUGUUCAGAUGUGUUAUUCAAACAUGCAGUGACUCAUUAAGAUUUUUUUCUUUCCCAGACAUUCUGGCUGCAGACAUCUGCAGGGAGGACCAGAGCGGACCAGAAGUUGAUUUAAAGUCAUUCAAAUUAAAAGGGAUUACACCGGGAAGUACGUACUUUUUGUCUUGUGUGACUAUAACUUUUUUCUUGUAGCUUUAUUUUAAGGAUAUAAUGUUAAUACGAUUUUUUUGUAUAUUCAUGUGAUCAGCAAAGACAAAAUACAAAAUGGAAUGACUCCUUCAAACCGACUGGGGCACUUGAGAAAAGACGUCACCUCGGGUCCUCUGAGUGGAGGUCGGCCCUGAUAGUGACGGUGGGUCCUGACAGUGAAGGUAAGUCCUGACAGUGGAGGUCUGCAGCCAGACCCCUCUUGUUCUUUCUGCUUAUGCACAGACAUGAGUUGGGUAUUGCAAUGCCAGAUUAUAUGAGGAGUUUGUAGAUGAUUUUAUAUGCAAAAAUCAUAUUUUGAUAACACUGCGUCUACAAAAAAAAAACCCAAAUAAAAUACAUGGGUUUUAAUUCUAAGGUCGUAUUGCCCACUUCUUUACAUUACAGUUCUGGCCCGUGCUCAGUAACAGGACACUGAUUGUUGUCUAUUCACCUGCAUUCUGUGUCUUACAAGUACCAUUACCUGUAACUCUACUUAUUAUCUUUUUAACCUGGUAAAAUGCAGAGUAAUUCCUCUGAUCGCGAGACUGUACUCUAAAUUAAAUUCCUAUUUGCAUUUAAGAGCUUAAGCUCAUGAGCCAUUACAAAUGCAGGGCAUGUCUUCUUUUCUUUGCUUGUCAUGUGGUGUAAAUAGGCGUUUAAUCUCUGAGCCACACAUGGAAGAAGCACCAGUGUUCUUACACUACUGUAUAUCUAACACAGUGUAUCUAUGUGUCCUUUAAUUUGCCUGGCUAAUGCAGCACUCUAGCAUAGUGAUAAGAGAGUGUAAUCUUCUUAGGUGUGGCGAAAGCUUAAUCAAUAUUAACAUAUUCCUCAGCUCCCUCUCCAUUGAAUAAUUGAUAUCCCCACACAGUCUUGCUGAGAAUGAAAUAAGAUGUAGGAGUAUUAAAAUAACUUCCCCGAGAUAAAAGAAAAUUGAUUAAAAAAAGAUGGCUGAAAAUUAAAGAGAAGGGAAGGAGCCUAAGGGAUUGGGCUUUGCAUACAAAUGAAGAAAAAAGGGGUUGGAGGGAAGGUGGAGAAAAAAGGAACUUUAGGGAACUUAUGAGCUCAUUUAUCUAACUCCAGUCAUUGCACACUCGACCGGCUGGGUUUUUACUGAACCAAUCAAAGCGGUUAAUCUGAGGGAUCCACUGUAGCUUCUCCAAUCCCUGACCUCCUUGUAGAACAUGGCGUUAUUAAUCAAUGAUUGCUCAUCUGUAAUUUCCACAUGAUUACCUCUUCAUUUAAACUCCUGGCAGCAAAAAUCCCAGAGUUCACCUGACGGGUUACCUUCCUGUUCCCAACUCUUAGCAUCCUAAGCAUUUUUCAGGCCUAACAGAGUGUGCCUUCAGGCUCUGGCCAACCUAGGCAAUAACUCCCCAUGAAGAAUGAUAAUGAGAAUUAAAUGAAGUUUUCUCAACUUAUGUCCAUAAGGUCCUUUCAGUUCAACUGCUGUAUUUAAAGUUUUAACUCGCGCUAAGUAGAAAUUGCUUAAUCACCUGAAGUGAAAGAAAAAGAAAUAAAACAAUGCAUUGAAGUCCUUUGCUUUGGGACUAUAAGCUGAUCCCUCAUAGCUGUAGGGACGACACAGAGCAGGGUUUUAAAAAUAGAUGCAGUGAGAGGAUGGGGGUUAAGAGGACUCAUGCGUUUGGACCACCUUGGUGUUAUCAGAUCACUGCUGACACCUCACCUGGCAACCCCAGGGCUUUAACGCAGAGGCAGACAGCCGCGAGUGACUUUGUGUUUGUGUGACUGUGUGGAGAAAAAAAAUAUGGAAAGUUCAGCAGACAAAGACAAAGACAAACUCAGGCUUUCUCAAGGUUGAAGCACUUAUAUAGGAGAUAUAUAGAGGACGCAUGUUUGUGGGGUGUUGAACGGCAUGUGUGACAGCUGUGUUCAAUCAGCGAGGGGAAAGCUGAAGGGUGAAAAUGAGAUGUCAAGCAGAUGAAGAUGAGACCAAUACGGAACAAAGAUACUUGACAUACAUACACAGGAGGUAAACAGCAUUGCUCUGUACGCCCUCUAUAGAAAAUAAUUACAUGUCUAAUAUGACAGCAUGUAGGGGCUAACAGUACAAGUGGUGAUUGGGGAAAUAUGCGGAUGCAUGACGGCGCACCUUGUCUGUCUCUUAUACAUGUAAGUGUGUGUGAGUGUUUGUGUCUUCUUCAUUCAGAACUGUAUCAGAUCCCCUCCAUCUCCAUUUGACAGGCAACCGACGAGAUAGCGGCUCAGAUCAAUGUCUUCGAUUUAUGCACACUGACACUUACUAACACACUCACACACCUAUCCUUCUUGAUUUACCGCCGGCUUUUAAUUUUUUUUUUUUUUUUUGGAAAGAAAAACCCCCCAAUUAAACUCACAGCUAAAUCAGCCAUCUGUCAAAAUUACUAGUCCAAGGUUUCAGUCUUAACAUCUCUUUUGAUUGUUGAAAGCUCUGGUAGUAUGAAGCCGUGAAGAUAACUUAUGACAAGGCAAUAAAAGAGACUAAAAUCUUAUUUAUAGCUUGUUUUAUUGUCAGCCUUUCUGCGUCGGCUGUUAAGAUUUUUUAAUCCGUGAGGGUAAAGGCGAAUUGCAGCCGUAUGUGCCUCCAUCUCAUGCCUCUGACUAAUCAAACUGUAGCCUGUUAACUGUCUCCUCUAAUUAUACUGCAUCAACACCCAGACUGACAUUUCUGUCCGCCUGUCUGAGGCUCCCCUUGUGCUGCAUUGUGAGCCUUGAUAGGGAGGGGAAUAGACAACUGUUAGAUACUUUUGCAAGUAGAAUUAAUUGUAUUUCUUAUUUUUCCGUCAGCCUCUAUUUGAUUAAACUAUGGCUAAAUUUGUGAACACUGUAUCUGAAGAAAUAUUUCUAUCUUGUUUUCUUUUUUUUCACUCCGUCUGUACCCUUUAGCUUUCUGCUCUAUUUUCUCGCUCUUGUUUUAAUCUCAUCUCUACUAGUCUGGGCUCCUGUCAGCUGAAACAAAUAGCUGUGUCCCAAACAAGCAGAGCACUGGGCAGGUGUCAGUCAGGCUGUGGAGCGCAGAAAUUGAUCACGGUCAGGCACAGAGUCAAUACAAACUAAAAUAACAGGCUCUUUCAUCUGCAGUACACAGGCAUGUGAUGUGCAUGCAACCCAUUGGUUAUACAUUUUUCUGCCUGGCACUGAAUCUUCUAAGUAUGACCACAUUCUUUGACAUCUUGCAUCUGUAUAAAUGGGAAAUCUGCUGGGUCACCUACAUUGUAACCUGUUUCAGAUAAACUAAAUAAGUGUUUUUGCUUUCUAUUCAAGGUCUCAAAGGCAAAUUCUGUUCACCACUGAUCUGCAGUUGCACAGGUGCUGCCCUCACUUUGAGUAAAUGAUGGGAAUAAUUGAAUGUGAUCCAGAGCAUUAUUUUCAAUUAGUGCAUGUUUAUGAGUUAGUUAAAACACAGUCUGAUUUUUCCUAUCACCAUCGUAAUUGUACAUGGUUGUUUCGUUUCUCUUUUCUGGGCAAUUUAUCUGAAAUAGUGGACUCUUGUUUCAGAGUCUUGAUCUUUAAACACAAAUAUAUAUGCACAACAGUAGUAUUUAUCUGUAAAGCAGACUGACGCCACUCACAACUGCAGUGCCAGGGGGAUGAAGUACAGAGAGUAACAGGGAUCAGCAGCGGCAAAGUAGGCCAAGUUGACCAAGAGUUAGAUGGAGUUUAAAUGCUGAUUUUGAGAUAAUGGUUAUAAAUGCACCAGAGUGAUUAAAGAAACAAACAGUUAAUCAGUCAAGAAAUUUGGUGUCUUAGACUGUCAAGUGGAAAGUCUGUCAAAACCGUAGACUUCAUAUAGAAAAGACAGAGUCUGCCUCCUCACUGGGUAAAGCCACUCAGAGAACAGCACCCUCUAGUGACGGGCUGCAGUAUAGGUCAUAAAUCCCGCCUCCUCCAGCAAUUCUUAUGGAGCUGUGGACAAACUUUAGAGACUAAUUACAAGGAAUAUACAUUUUCUCUCCCCUGUAUGAUUGACUCUUGAUACAGCCUAUGGGCGUACGAAGAAGGUAGCUCACCCGGGGGAUACGCUGUUUAAGCAGAGUGUCAUCACAGCGACUCUCGGCAACUCUUCUGCCAUGUACUACACUACUGCGCCAGUGGUGGUUCCAGGAAGUGGAGAAAAUUCUGGAAAUGCCAAGGAAUUCAGCUUCAAAUUUGUUUAAUGAUGGAAGCGCAGCCAACAGUCUAUGAUCAAAACGCUCUCAGGUCCUCACAACAGCUGUUUCUGGGGGAUUGGUAGAAGGAUGUGUGAGAUGGAAGGUAUGCCAAGGUUCCUUAACCUGGUUGAGGGUUUUGGAGUCGCCAUAGAGGCUGCAUAUGUUUGUGCUUUUGUUUUUAAGAUGGUCAGCAUUAUGGUUCAUCAACUGCAGGUCAUUUUAAUUUUAAGUAUUCUGUGAUGGACUGGCUGCCUGUCCAGGAUAUAUGCUGCCUUUUAACAACUGUCAGCUGGGAUAGGCUCCAAGAAGGCUAACCAAAGUAAUCGAAGUAACUUAUUUCAUAUAUUUUCACUUUCAAUCAAUAAGCCACAUUCAUGAUGAUUCCUUUGCUGUGACAGGUAGUGGUGAUAAUCAAUCUUUGCACUCAGCUCGCCGCCUCAGAAAACACCUGUUAGUGCUCCAGCAGUUAUUAAAUCUGAAUUUUUGAUGCAUUGUUUCACCCUGUCAAGAAAUAAGAAAGCAGAAAAUGCUGUGGGCAAACAAAAAUUAUUUGCAUCUAGGGAUGAGGAUGAAAACCCAGUUCUGCAGUUUUGAAACCCAAGAAUCAAUAUUGUUUCAACUUAUCAAUACUUCUAUUAAGUCUCAGAGGUCCCACAUUAUGCCUUGGAUGGAGCCACAUUUAAAUCAGACCACUGGUGCACAAACUCCCAUUCAUUGUCUAAUAAAGUGUCUGAAUAAAUUUGAUUCCCAGCCAACAGGUCAGCUGUUUCAGUUUGCUGCUCCAGUUGCUUUAGAGGAUAGCAGAACGUGUCAGGAAGUCUAAAAUUUGGCUGAAUACCUUCAGCUGUCUUCAGGUUGAAAAAACUCAGAUUAGACUCACUGGUGCUGCUGCAUUUUCAAUUUAACUUUUGUCAAUUAUAUAUAAGUAAUGUGUCUUGUUGACAUGUCGUAUUCAUAAUUAAUAAAGGAGAUGAGUAAUAUAUCUCUUACAGAGCUCCAGAAGUUGCAGUCAGCAGCCAAACGCACAAGAUGAACGACUUCUCAACUAAUUUGUUGUCAAUAAGUUUAAUAAUAAUUUCAGAGUCAUACACUAUUGUUUUCAUGACCAUUAAUUUUGAUGAAAUGUUUCACUGGUGUCCACACAACUGAUCAAGACGGCGCAAAAUUAAUCAAAACGAAAUUAAAAAAGUUGAGGCGAGACUUUGGGUGCGCUGAUUGAAGAAACUUUCUCAUGUUGCAGGGAGAGGGGCAGCUCAACAGUCAGAAAAUGAUAAACAAGAAGAAAGUUAAUUUUCUGAAGCACCACCAUCUGCAGGAUUGUUUACAGCCCUGCCAAGUAGUAAGACCCUUCUCAAGGAAAAUAAGCUUUCAGAAAAACGUCAACUGAAUAAAAAAGGGGGGAUUUAUUAGACAGAGGAAACCGACCAAAGGCACAAACUACUUUAAAUUUCACACUGCUUCAUUAUGGUUUGAGAUGGAUGUGACAAGAGGUUGCCCAAAUUAUCGAUCGGACACUAUAACCUCCCCUGACUUGUGCAAUGAAAGAUUUUUACAAUUUGAUUCACAGCUUUACUACUUCAUGAAUCCUGGUCUUGGUGCUAAAUCUUGAUUUUUUUCAAGUGCAUUUAAUAAUCUUAGAUGGACAAACAAGACAUACAAGAGUCUAUGUGAGCAGAUCUGCAUUUAAGGAGCAAGUCCUAAAGUCCAACUCCGAUCAUUUUUUAAUUUUUUAAUUUAUUUUUUGUUUAAUUUUACAACUUAAAGUGUUACCAGUGGUCUUUAUUGUGAUUAUGAAGUUUUAAGCCAAAAUCGCAUUACCUUCGUCAUUUUUGAGGGCUUUUCUUCUGCAGUCGUGGGCAGAGACAGCGCUGCUCUGCACACUCCUCUUCAUGCUAGCUUGAAGCCUAACAUUGCUGGUGUAGUAGAAGAAGCAGGUAACAUAGGAGCUAUUCAGCUCUCAGACACUAAUGUCUUUGAGGGCAGGAUGAAAGUUAAUAUCAUAAUUAGCUUUUUUUGCAUUGCAAUCCGCUAACGCACACGCUUGUCCCGCGAUUGUCCUCUCUAUUUUUGUGAGUCUGACCUGCAUAGCGGGGCUCCGGGGGCGGAGCUUGGAAUUCUGAUGUAGGAAAUCUCACUGUUUCUGAACCUGCCAUUGGGUCUGGCAGAGAUUCACAGCAAUAUGAAUGCAGAAAUGCUCAGAAAUGCAAUUUCGCACUUAUUUUUCACAUGAUAUGUCCUGUAGCAUCAGAAAAAUGCCAUACGGACAUAUUAAAAAAAACAAGAAAAACAUGAUCAGAGUGGGUCUUUAAAUUGGACCAAUUUCUUUAAAUACAUAACACUGUUGUGCCUCUGACCUACAGUAGUAAACGUGAAAACAGCAUGAGAAAUGCCGGCUGUCUAAUAUGCACUUUUUUGGUUUACAGAUAUUUAAUCUAGCUGCAUCUAUUUUCUACCUCCUGUUAGUUGACAUGCAUUGGAGCUGACUUCUUCCAUUAACAUUCAGGAAAAAAAACAUGAAAAGAGAACAUCCUCUAUCUCAUCGAGUCCAUCAGAGGAAUAAGAGAGAUGCACAGACAGAGGCGGAAAUGUUUGAAAGCCUACGAAACACCAAUACAAACUAUUUCCAUGCUUCGACCCCAUACCAUCAUCUUCAACGUCACUCACUGCCCACCCCACGCAUGCACUAAAACAUUUAUACCCCCAUGCCUGUCUGCUGAUGGUUCUGCCUUUGAAUUAUUCACCACUGGAAAUGCAGGAACAAUCUAAUUGAAAGAGAAGAGAAAUCCAGUGGAGACAAAACUCUGCUCUUUCCCCACAUGAUAAAUGCCGUACAGUUGACGUGGUCAGACUCAGCUGCUGUCGUCUCUGUUAUUUUGUAUUCUCACAGCUCGCCGUCUGCAGCUGUCUGCAAUUAACACAACGUUAAUGACUUCUCCUCUGUGACUAACAUAUCCUUAAAUUUAUAGUUUCACAAAGUAUGCGUCUGCUAUAUUGGCUGUUUGUAUCACCAACACAAUCUGAAGCCAUACGCAGGAAAUGUUUUCCAAUACACGGUUAACAUCUGGCCAAUUAACACUGGUGUCCUUUAAAAGAUAACGUAGGAGAUGUAUUGAUCCUAAUUCUCACACCUCAGUGGGUGACUUCAAGGUCUUGUUAUUUGAAGAUGGAAGAAGUGAAGUGGAAGACAGGUUUCUUUGAAAAAUCUCACAUAGCUUACAUGAACUUCUCCUUGACUUAUGAGGACGUGUGAUUUUCUUUCUUGACUUAAUUUUAUUUACAGUUUUACUUUAUUUUAAUUUAUAUCUUUAUGGCAGAAAGGAAGUUUCCCCUCAAGAGAAUCCUGUAGAAAACACAGAAAAAGGCACUUUGUUGCAGAAAGGUUUAUAUGUGGAAGAUUGUUUUUAUUCAGCUAAAAUAAAAAGGCAAACAAAAUUGGGUUUUAUACAAACUUUUUAUUAGUGUCAUUUCCAUCAAAAUCCCUUCAAACUAUCAUAACAGUAAAAAAAUGUAAUGGACAAAAAUACAGAAGUUUUAGCAGAUAGAAAACGAAACCUUACAUAAUUUUAAACAUAAGAGGAACCAGUUUCAGGUAUCUGUUAUUAUUAAGCUAAUAUAUUAAGAGAUCCACAAAUGCAUACACAGAAUAUUACACUAAAUACACCGUGCAAAGCUAGAUAUCCAGGAUGUGUUGGGAUGCAGCAGGCUAGUAGCAUCCUUUUUAAUGAACUAUUGAGCCACAGUGAGUUUGAACUUUGAACAAACUCUCCAUACGUGUGUUUGUGAAUAUUGAUGCAAAGAACUACGUGUACUUGUAGAUUUUGCACUGCAGAGUUUGAGCAAAAGAUACAUGUAGACAUAUUCAGUUGUAACUUGUCUUACUGGGCCAAAAAGAUGCUGUCCUAUUGAGAAAGCCAUCACAAAGAGUUAAGUGCACCAGAAAUCGCACGGCAGAGUGAAAAGCUGCAAAUUUGUCUACAUGCAUGCCUAAUCUGUGAACUUCUUGAGAACACAGUUUAGGAUCUGUACACGUUUGUGGAUCUAAAAACACAUUUGUAGGUUUCUGUGGAUUUAGUUGUGAAACUGUCUGCAAAUUUGUGGAUCUGAAACUCUGAAAAUGCUUUUGUUGUAUUGAGCACACAUUUGUAAAUCUCUAUUUGCAUUUGCAGCCGUAUAUAAUCCGUCAAACAAGAACAUUUUGAUUGGGAUUUAAUCGUGCAGAACUUAGAUGGAGAAACAACACAAUUUCAAGGGGGGGAAAAACAUACGUUUCGACGUGCUUUAAAACAUCGAACAUUUUUAAAGCAAAAUCAAAAUGCUUAGACCACAUUCCAGAUAAAAAAAAAAUAAAAGUAACAACAGUUUGCACACUCUGCAGGAUAAAUAUUGGCUGGGGACAUCACUGCUGUGUGCCUGAUGAUGAGAUUCCCUGCAAAAAGAAAAAAAAAAAUCCUGCGUACACUGUACUGCACGUGUACACGCUCACACAGUUACACACACAUGCAGCUCUGCCUCCUUUGAAGUGCUGCAUCACUAGACUGUAAUGGAAUUCUAUAGCUGACUGCUGACUUGAGGCUUUGGGGGGGAAUGGAUGGAGAAAUGGGUGGAUGGAUGGAAAGAGAAGUGAACAGAGGAAGGUGGAAAGGUAGAAAAAAUUGAUUGAAGGAAAACUGUUGGACUGUAUUUUGUGUUCAUGUGUUUGAAGUAUUGUGCCCCCUGCAUCCAUGCCUGUGUGUCCGUGUGUGUUUGAGGUUGACACCAUCGAUAGUAUAUGUGACACGUCGAGAUACAAAGGUUCCUCUUCCUCUGUUGCCUGUUUUAAAGUCCCCACCUUGCACAUGACUUCAAAAAGGCUCCCCAGGGUGAGGAUGUAAGUGCGUGCACCACCUCUUACCCUUGUUCCCGUCCCCUCUUUCAACCUGUGUUUUAGCAGGGGACAAGAGGGUACUGUAAAUUGCCUUUUGAUUCAUCCCCUUUAAUUAUGCAAAUAGACUUCAUUAUCAGCAAUGACUCUAAAGUGUUUUGGAAUGUAUUCAUUAGUCUGUGUGAGGGGCUGUGAGAACGUUCAUUUAGAGGUACUGAAGUGUGCACUAUUUAGCACGCUCUCUUUUUCAUAGAUGCAAGUAUACAACAUACUCAACAAGGUGGGCGUGGAUAUGUUUACACGCACCUGUCUCUAAUAUGUGUGCUUUGUUGUUUUUGACAGAAGCAUUCUGCCCCAGCUUCAGCAGGCUGCAACAUUACUGUUGGAUCUCCCAGUUUACAUCUUAGGUAUCAAAACAGUCCGUAAAAAGUAGGGCUGAGACGCCAUAAAAAAAUUAAUCUAAUUAAUCAGAGGCUUUGUAAUAAAUUAAUCACAAUUCAUCACAUUAAUCUAGUAAACCAGAGAGUUUGUUAAUUUUUCUGACAUGGACUUACUCAUCUUAGCUCUGAAUCCACUCAUCUGGUCGAGUGUGAGUUGGGUGUGCGUCACUGUACUCAGAGUCAGAUUAACGUUAGCUUCAAUGCUAGCUGCAACAUGUUUAGCAUUCAGGUUAUACCGGAGGCUCGAUGUGCUGCAGUGAUGUGCAAAUUCUUUUGUGCAUAGUUUGCACAAGACAUUUUUUUAUUCAGGCUUCGAUCCAUCUUUUUUUUUUUUUAAAGCAAAAAUGCCCAUCCAUGCUGGAGCCACUCAAAGCAAAUUCAUUUGCGACUUCAUUCAUUUUUCCAUGCACUGGUUGGGACUGGAACCCUGGUGCAAAAAUACAGUUGGUGCAAUUAAUAUGCGUUAAUAUUUUUAAUGCGAUAAUAUUACUGUAAUUAAUUAAUCACAAUUAAUGCAUUGAUAAAAAGCACAGACAAUUAUGAGAAUUGAUAAAAAGCAUAGACAGCAAUUUACCGUUUGUUUGUAGGAUGGGAAAGUUUUGUUUACUACCUGGCUUCCUUGCAAAGCAUUUAUGCUCUUCAACUUCUGGCUCCAAAUCUGCCGUGCAAACACAGAGUGCUUAGGCCAAUUUCAGUCUGAUUGAGCAGCCGUUACUAAGUGCUUGCAGAUUCAUGGAUUAAUGAUUGGUUUCUGUAAAUAAUACCACAAAGUGUGUUUUUCCACUGGCUUUUUAUGUAGAGUGCCAUUAGAUAGUAUUUGUGAUUUGGGGCGAUAACUUGGCAUGAAAACAGCCAAGUUGAUUUUCAGCACUCACCCACUUUCUAUGUUUAGAACCCAGCUGGGUCUUUGGAGUCGACACAACAUGAAAACUCCUCACAGUGUCUUUCAGUGUUUGGAUAAGGAGGAGUAAGAGUGACAAAUGAAUAAAUCAGACCACAUUCAUAAUCUGAAAGGCACACAAAGGUUGAUCAGUAAUUCCCAACUCAUGUCCAUCCUUUGAUAGCAUUAAGUUGGCAGUUUUUAGAUGAGCAACACUUCUGAGAAAAUAUGGAUAGCAAAAGCUAAAUAGAUGGUCUACAUCUACAAUUGAGGCUAGUUGCCUUUGUUAAGGUGCUCUUUAGUUCUUUGUUUAAACCAUCAUAAAAACAUUUUGUUUGUUAUUAGAAAUACAAUACUGCAACCUCCAAACAUACUCAUGGAUCCAGCUAAGUGCAUUUGCCUUUUUCACUUCAUAGAACUUGUGGGUGACACAUUUUUGGUGCAGACUAUGUUUAGAGCAGGAACUCUCCUGAGAGUUUUGGAUCCGGCACAAUACGCAUGCGACUGUAAUUAUGCAAAAGAGGUCAUUAACUUAAUAAACAGUGUCAGUAAACAACAGCACAAAGACACAGUUUCCCUGCUGGCUCCUUUUCUUCUCUCUCUUAUUUCUCUCUGGCUGUUGUUACCUCUCACCCCUGAAUCUCUUUUCCAUUUGAACAUAGGGGUCUUUCAGUCCUGGUCGAUGAGCAUCUGAAUGAGAGAAAAUUGUCUGAAGUUAAAGAGACGGCAACAUCCCUAUAGCAGGACAAACAGCUGAUGGCAGGACAAGGUAGUUGAAUGGGUUUAAUGAGUAGUCCAUGGCACUCUGACACAGAUCCAGUUCUGAGACUGUCAAUAUGUUGACAAAGACACACUGAGAAUAACAAUCAUCAACUGCAAUUCUCCUUAAUUACAGAGGUGACUCUUCUUUUUCUCAAGAAAUCAAGCCUAGCAUGCUCCCCUGUUCCUGCUCUGUGUGCGUGUGUGUAUGUCUGUCAGAGUGUGUGUGUUUCUAAGAGAGGAGAGAUAGUGUUGUCUGUCUUCCCCUAAUCUUCUCUUCCCAUCCUCAGCCUGCUAUCUCACCCAUGUUCUGUAAUGCUCUUAUUUAACUUGGCAUCAUCCCAUCGUCACAUCCUCAGUGCUCCACACUAAAUGUCAACAACUGAAUAUUCAUCACAACGCUGACAUCCCUCCCCUCUGUCUCUCUAAAUCUCAUCCCAGACAGAAGAUGUUUUUUUGCUCCUCUG